CAGCGCCACGAGUGGCAACCGUUUAUUCGGCCUAAAGCGUCCGUAGCCGGUUCUGUAAAUCUUUUGUGAAAUUGUUGGGCUCAACCUAACAACGUGCAGAAGACACUGCUGAACUAGAGACCGGGAGGAGUCAGAGGUAUUCUGGGGGGAGCGGUAAAAUGCUUUAAUCCUCAGCAGACCACCUGUGGCGAAGGCGUCUGACCAGAACGGAUCUGACGGUGAGGGACGAGAGCUAGGGUAGCGAUCCGGAUUAGAUACCCGAGUAGUCC
rnacentral:rRNA from 1 species